UACGGGGGGGGCAAGCGUUGUUCGGAAUUACUGGGCGUAAAGGGCUCGUAGGUGGCCAUCUAAGUCAGACGUGAAAUCCCUCGGCUUAACCGGGGAACUGCGUCUGAUACUGGAUGGCUUGAGUGUGGGAGAGGGAUGCGGAAUUCCAGGUGUAGCGGUGAAAUGCGUAGAUAUCUGGAGGAACACCGGUGGCGAAGGCGGCAUCCUGGACCACGACUGACGCUGAGUGAGCGAAAGCCAGGGGAGCAAACGGG
rnacentral:rRNA from 1 species